rnacentral:lncRNA from 1 species
CUUGACUCAUCUAUGGUAUUUUUGUAUCGUUCUUAUUUUUGUUUCUCUUGCUCCCUUAGUCCCGAUUCCCCCCUUAAUUAUGCUUAUCGCUUAUGGUCAUUUUAUUUGCUUCCGUGACCAAGGAUGUGUAAUGAUACGCUAUGAGGCUUGUUUGGGGUUCCUUCGGGUUCCCCAUUCGCCGGUCACGUCUAGGCCCUAGGCUUGGGUCGUG